UACGUAGGGGGCAAGCGUUGUCCGGAAUUAUUGGGCGUAAAGGGCUCGUAGGCGGUUUGUCGCGUCGGGAGUGAAAACACGGGGCUUAACCCCGUGCCUGCUUCCGAUACGGGCAGACUAGAGGUAUGCAGGGGAGAACGGAAUUCCUGGUGUAGCGGUGAAAUGCGCAGAUAUCAGGAGGAACACCGGUGGCGAAGGCGGUUCUCUGGGACGGUACUGACGCUGAGACGCGAAAGCGUGGGGAGCGAACAGG
rnacentral:rRNA from 1 species